CCUUAUUAUUAUUAUUGAAGUUCCAUGGAUCACAAAAAUAACAGAAAAUUAUCUAAAAGAAUACAAAAUUUCUGAUUUAUCAGAAUGACAAGAAAUCAAUUCCGUAAAGUGACCGUACCGAUCAAUAAUUACUGAAAUGUUGAGUGUAAUCUUCAUGGAGGUCAUCUGAUGUUUUUUAAUUUGUUUUAUUCUUUCGUAUGUGUAAACUUUCAUGUUGUACAUGAUGAUGCCCUGAAGGUUGAAGAAUCAGGUAAGAAAUGAGAUAACAGAUCCACAGGUAACUAUUAAUAUGAAUAAUAUAUUGAAUUGGAAAACCAGUUGAGUGUUUUUUAAAAAAAAACACUAAAUACUGAUUGAGAAUAAUGAUAAAUAUAAUUGAGAAAAUGGAUCAAUCCGUUUUUUAUCACAAUUAAAAGUAAUUCAUCAACAGUGAUAAUCAUUUUCGACUGAAUCAUUUGCUUGUUGUCAUCAAAUUGUAAUAAAUUUGAUGAAAAUUGAACGGAACCUCUUCUUCUGGAUUAAUUUACUUCUCUCAUGGUUAAUGUUAUCGUUUCGUUUUUCAGGCUCGAUCACUUUAUCCCGUCUUCAGGAUAUUCACUUGAAUUCAUUUAAUCUUGAAACUGAUUAAUUCAGUUACAAUGAUUCCACCUGAACCUUUGGGAUCCAUGGUACUUUUAUCCUCGCUGGAUUGGCCUCAUCAUUUAUCGAUAAAUUUAAACUUUUAAUUUCGUUAUUAAUCAAUCCAAGUAUCCAAAUCAUAAAUCUCAAAGUUAAUCUACUUACAGGUUUGAUUGGUUUCCAUCAUGAUGUUCCUGUUGAUAAUGAUGAUGAGUACGAUAAGUUCUCAUAUAAAUAUAACUGGUUUCUGGGAAAAAGACUCAUGGUUGACUGAUUGUUGUUCCAUUAUGUUUCCAUGCUGAGAUGAUUUCAAGAGUAGAAAGAGAAAAUAUUACUUUCGAAAUGAUGAUCAAUCCGUCAAAAAAUAGAGAGAGAAAGAAAAGACUGAACAACGAAAUUCAGAAAAAGAGUCAAAAAUAAAAGAGAAAUUCUCAUGUUAUCCUUUUAUCCUUCUUGAUAUGAAAUAAGAAUUUCAUAUUUCCAUUGAUCUUUGUUUCGUUAGGUUUCAACUCUUUUUUUCCGCUCAACAGAAUUGCAAGAGAAAAUCAAUUAAAAGGUAACUUUACCUUUCUUCUUGUUGAUUGUUGUUCUAUUUUAAUUAUGAAAUUUGACACAAAUUUGAAUAAAAAUAAUCGAUCAGUUGAUAGAAAUUAACUCAACUAUAACAAUUAAAAGAAGGGAAAAAUAAUUGAUGUUAUCGAUACUUUUCCAGAGGAAUUAAUUGAUUAUUUGUUUUGUUUUAUUUUCUUCUAAAUGUUGAUUAAUAGAAUUAAUUAAUUAACAAGGUUUGUAUUUUCUUUUUUUUCUUUCAUUGUCAAUUCUAUGGUAUGAUUCAUUUAAUUGUUCUUAAUUGUUCAAUAGUUUCUUUCAUUUCUAUUCAGUUAAUUGUUGAUGUUUGUUUUAUUUUUGUCAGGUAAACAAUUGGUCAUCUUUAUGUAAGGUAUUGGGAUAAGUAAAUAUCAAUUAUCUUUGAAAAAGAUAAUCAAAUUAACUAUUAAUUGUUGAUGUAAGUGUGAUCAUGUCAAGUGUUGAUUAUUAGAGAUGCGAAUUACUUGAAAAUUUAAAUAAACUGAUCAUUACAUUGAAAACCAAGUUAAUCAAUUACCUAAACUUUUUUAAGGUAUCUCAGUUUAUAUAUUUGUACAUGUUAAUAAUGGAAAGUUGCUAUAUAAGUGCUAUGGAAAAGGAGGACACAGCUAAUUUAACCUGCGAUCUCAAUUGGUGAACUGAUUCGCUAUAUUGGUGGUGGUGCUUGGUGGUUCAUGGUUGGUGCUAUUGGUGGACAAAACCAGUAGAGAUUGAAAGAAGAGCAAAUUUAUCCUUUUUCAAGAAAGAAAUUGGUGUUAUGGUGUAAACAAUUAUAUUAUUUUAUUGUUAAAUUGGAUUGUCUGGACACGAUUUUUUACAUUAGGUAAAGUCAAUAUUAACCAGAGAAUCAACUGGUCAAUCGCCUGGAUCACAAUCAGCUUGUUAAAUGGUCACUUACCUGAAAACAGAAAUGAAAUAAAAAACCAUUUCCAAAUUGAUAAUCAAAAUAACUACAACAAUUUGAUAAUUGGAUCAAAAUCAACAUGAUAAUUAUCGUAAUCAUUAUUCAUCGACAAUUAACAAUUGUAAUUGGACGAUUAAGAUUAAAAUGGUCAUUCGUCAGUAAACCGAUACAAACGUUUCAUCAACAUAAAUAAUGAGCCAACGAUAUUUUUGAAUUGUUUCUUUUCCCAGGACGAUGGCGAUUCAGAUAAUGAUGAUGAUGAUGAUAAAAAAGUAGCUAAUUAUAUUAUAUCAACCGUUAUAAUAGUGUAACAACCUGUUUCCCUUUGCAUACCCACCUACCUGUAGAUUGAUGUUAAUUGUAAGCGUAAUUGUGGUUUUCCACUUUUGACCAUCAUCAACAAUUAGAAUCAUUUAAUGUUUCUGUGACCACAAUCACCCCAAAAGAGGGUAACAAAGGUAACAUGCAUUUAAUAAUCUGCAUAAUGAUUAUUUAAUCAUCUUCCUUAUUCAUAAACAACCAUUGAACAAUUAACUUAAUUUUCACUUACCCUUAUUAACCAAACAGUUAACUAUUUAUUAGCAGCUAUUAAUUUCAAUUUGAUUUUUUUUUGUGUUCACUUAACUUUGAUGAUUUAACCUUUAAUUUACUCUUUUUUUAAUCAUCUUAAAUUGCUCUAUUUCCAGUAACAAUCAAACAACAAUCAAGUCCAAAGAAAAAAAAACAAGGUGAAAACAGAAAAGAAGAAGAUAAAUUGAAUGAAUGACCAUUACUACUUUCGGUAAGAGAAAGAUAAAUGUUACGCUUUAUUAUCAUUUGUUAUUAUAUAUCAAGUGGUGGUCAAUCUCAUUAAUGGAACACCAAUUAAGCCUUUGCUUUCAAUUAAGCUUAAUUAUCAGCUAAUUUAAUUGUCUCUCUUUUUUAUAUUAUCCUCAUUCACCUCAUAUGUUGUUGUUGGAUCUUUUUAUUUAUUCAAAUUAACUUGUCAAAUAAUAACUCUCUCUCUCUCUCUCUCUCUCUCUCUCGUUGAUCCUGUUGAAUGAUUACCAUGAUGAUGAUGAUGAUGAUGAACAUGAUAAUGAGGAUGAAAAAAUCUUCUGCUUCAUUAAAUUCAAACUGUUUACUGGUUGAUCUUUAUAAAGAAACAGGAAACGUGAUUUGUCAGUCAACCCUAUCACCCUGUAAUUAUAUAAACACUGUACCUUGUUGAUUGAUUAUGGUUAAGAUUUAAAUGAUCAUAAUCAUUCUGGUAACAAUUUAGCUCUUUCUUAUUUUCUCUCAGUCAAAUUAACAAUUGAAUCUCAUCCAUAGCUGAUUAUCUUUGCUACAAUUAUUUCUAAUUAAAAUUUAUCUCUUUUCACCUUUAGUUAUAUGUAUUCUUGUUUAUCGUUGAGAGCGUUGAUUUUCAAUUCUUUUGUAUUGCUUUUUAUCAUUCUAAUGAUCAACAUGAUAAUAUUCAUGAUGAUCAUGUUGGUGAUGACAAUUAUUACCAAGUUAUAUUAUCACCAUGAAUUUGAACAACAGGAAUAACCAUUUAUUUUGAACAAUAUGAGUCCAUUGAAUGGCGACGAAAGAUGAAGAUUAGAUGGCAAUUGGAUGAUAAUGAUGAUGAUAUAUUAAUGACUCAUCAAGCCUUCUCUUUAUCACUACUAUCAUCAUCUUUAUCCAAGCAUGUUAAACAUAUUCAGUGAUUAAUAUUCAUUGGAAUCAUCAUUUUUUUUUCAAGAAAAGUAAAAGCAAAAACCUAGUGAAAGAAAUUGAUGUAACAAUCAAUUGAAAUUCACUGAAAAAGAUGCUGCUUUUUAUCAUCAUCAUCAUCUCCUGACGUUCAUUCACUCGUUAUUUAUAUUAUUAAUACUUAUUCACAGGAAACUCCAGCAUAAUUUCCAAGAUAUAACUAAAUUUUUCUCAAUAUAUCAACACCAUUAGGUAACAAAUUGGUGGAUAAAAUUUUCCACCAACUCUCUCUCUCUCUCUCUCUUGAUUAACCGCAUCAAUUUAAAAUAUA